CGUGUUCGGUAGUGUCCGCUGAGAUCCGACAGGAGGCCACUUUUAAUCAUGUGGUCGUGGGUUCGAGUCCCACCGCGCUCACCA
rnacentral:tRNA from 1 species